CAUUAAAUACCGGUUCCCGUACGAUCAAUGAAGUUAAGCAUAGUCGAGACUUUUCAGUACCUACAUGGGUAACCGCUUGGGAAUACCAGGUGUUGUAAG